UUACUCACUUCAACAGCACAUAUACUAAAAUUAAGAUGAUACAGAGAAGAUUAGCAUGUCCUCUGUGCAAAGAUGACAUGAAAAGUGUGUGUGUGUGUGUAAAUAAAA